GACGAACGCUGGCGGCGUGCUUAACACAUGCAAGUCGAACGGUAAGGCCCUUCGGGGUACACGAGUGGCGAACGGGUGAGUAACACGUGGGUGAUCUGCCCUGCACUUCGGGAUAAGCCUGGGAAACUGGGUCUAAUACCGGAUAGGACUCCUGGCUUCAUGGUUGGGGGUGGAAAGCUUUUGCGGUGUGGAAUGGGCCCGCGGCCUGUCAGCUUGUUGGCGGGGUAAUGGCCUACCAAGGCGACGACGGGUAGCCGGCCUGAGAGGGUGACCGGUCACACUGGGACUGAGAUACGGCCCAGACUCCUACGGGAGGCAGCAGUGGGGAAUAUUGCACAAUGGGCGCAAGCCUGAUGCAGCGACGCCGCGUGAGGGAUGACGGCCUUCGGGUUGUAAACCUCUUUCAGCUAUGACGAAGCGCAAGUGACGGUAGUAGCAGAAGAAGGACCGGCCAACUACGUGCCAGCCGCCGCCGUAA
rnacentral:rRNA from 1 species